UGGGGAAUAUUGGACAAUGGGCGCAAGCCUGAUCCAGCCAUGCCGCGUGAGUGAUGAAGGCCUUAGGGUUGUAAAGCUCUUUCACCGGAGAAGAUAAUGACGGUAUCCGGAGAAGAAGCCCCGGCUAACUUCGUGCCAGCAGCCGCGGUAAUACGAAGGGGGCUAGCGUUGUUCGGAAUUACUGGGCGUAAAGCGCACGUAGGCGGACAUUUAAGUCAGAGGUGAAAUCCCGGAGCUCAACUUCGGAACUGCCUUUGAUACUGGGUGUCUUGAGUAUGGAAGAGGUUAGUGGAAUUGCGAGUGUAGAGGUGAAAUUCGUAGAUAUUCGCAGGAACACCAGUGGCGAAGGCGGCUAACUGGUCCAUAACUGACGCUGAGGUGCGAAAGCGUGGGGAGCAAACA
rnacentral:rRNA from 1 species